rnacentral:rRNA from 1 species
UACGUAGGGGGCAAGCGUUGUCCGGAUUUAUUGGGCGUAAAGAGCGUGUAGGCGGCCUGAAAGGUCAGCUGUGAAAACUCGAGGCUCAACCUCGAGACGUCGGUUGAAACCAUCUGGCUAGAGUCCGGAAGAGGAGAGUGGAAUUCCCGGUGUAGCGGUGAAAUGCGUAGAUAUCGUGAGGAACACCAGAGGCGAAGGCGGCUACCUGGACAAUUGCUGACGCUCAGGCACGAAAGCGUGGGGAGCAAAAGGG